GACGGCGAGGCGGGAAGGGGCGGUCUCGAGCGCUGAGGGGUGGGGCUCCGUGAGGGCUCCGGGGAGGGCCGCGGGCGGAUCCCGCUGCUCUCGCGGUUAUGUUCAAACUGUCCUGUUUCUAGUAGUCCCACUGGUUCUUGAAGAUGUUGCAGACUAUGAUUAACUAUGGGAAGAAAUACAUCCUAAGGAUUGAGGCAACAUGAGGACAGCUGGUCACUGUAGCUGCAAACAUGAUUCUAAUAACUCAGCAAAAGCACAAAGGAGCAGUCUGGGAAGUAUCUGCCCACCUGUGCUCGUGGAGAUGCCUGACUGCAAAUAGAGGUGCUGAACCAGUCUCCGGUGCUCAGGUGGGGACACAGACUGUUCUUACAAGUGUGGACAGUCUGUCUGAGCUAAAGCUCAAAGAUUAUUGCUUCAGUUGCUCAAAUACAAAAGAUGGGAAGGACUGUGACAGCACAAGAUCAAGUGCAGCUCUCUGCAAAGGAACGUUCCGUGCAUCAGCUCUGUGGUAUCUGCAUUUGGGGUGUUUGUAUUUCCAUAUAUCUGUCAGUCUGUCUGUCAUCUGCCUCCCUGUCCCCCUGACUUAUGUGGCUGUUGAUAAAUACCCUCCGUUGGUGAUUAAAAGGAAGUGACCUCAUCAGUUUGUCUUUGCAACCACAAAGGUUUGGUUGUAACGUGACAUUCCAUCCUAUUACUCUGGUUUACACCAAAUUCAACAGCUUGUGGCCUGCAGAUACUCAGGAUAAAGAGCAGAAAGAGACUGACCUUGACAACCUCAUUUCUCAUUCCUUUCUUGUUAUAGGUAAUAUAGCUGAAAAUGUGGUUUUAAUUAUAGUACUAAUGAAAACUGAAAAUCCAGACAGACACUUGACAAACUCUGGUACGCUUUAUAUUACAUUUGUGCUAACUACAAAGUAUCCAGCUGGGUGUAACAUUAUAUCUCUUUUCCUUGAGCAUCCGCCUGACUUAAGCUGUAUAAUUAAUGUGUACUUUGGCUGCAGGUCAGCUUACAGUUGGUUUUUUAGAAUUUUUACAUUUUUUAAGAUGUUGUAAUGAAACGAAUAUGUUUAUUACCUCUGUGCCUGCAUUCCCCAGAGGGAUUUAAUACCUGUGGAGGAGCACCGGCUGGGAGAACUUGAAUAAAAUACCUCUGCCAGCUGAGCCUGAUGCA
rnacentral:lncRNA from 1 species